AUGAGCCGGGCGGCAUGCUUACACAUGCAGUCGAACGGCAGCGCGGGGCAACUGGCGGCGAGUGGCGAACGGGUGAGUAAUAUAUCGGAACGUACCCUGGAGUGGGGGAUAACGUAGCGAAAGUUACGCUAAUACCGCAUACGAUCUAAGGAUGAAAGUGGGGGAUGCGCAAGCACCUCAUGCUCCUGGAGCGGCCGAUAUCUGAUUAGCUAGUUGGUGGGGUAAAGGCCUACCAAGGCAUCGAUCAGUAGCUGGUCUGAGAGGACGACCAGCCACACUGGAACUGAGACACGGUCCAGACUCCUACGGGAGGCAGCAGUGGGGAAUUUUGGACAAUGGGCGAAAGCCUGAUCCAGCGAUGCCGCGUGAGUGAAGAAGGCCUUCGGGUUGUAAAGCUCUUUUGUCAGGGAAGAAACGGUGAGAGCUAAUAUCUCUUGCUAAUGACGGUACCUGAAGAAUAAGCACCGGCUAACUACGUGCCAGCAGCCGCGGUAAUACGUAGGGUGCAAAGCGUUAAUCGGGAAUUACUGGGGCGUAAAGCGUGCGCAGGCGGUUUGUAAGUCUGUCCGUGAAAUCCCCGGGGCUCAACCUGGGAAUUGGAUGGAGACUGCAAGGUAGAAUUCUGGCAGAGGGGGGUAGAAUUCCACGGUUGUUAGCCAGGUGGAAAAUUGGCGGUUAGAAAGAUUGUUGGGGGGAAACACCCGGAUUGGGCGAAAAGGGGGCAGGGCCCCCCCUGGGGGUCCAAGGAAUUUGGGACGCUUCCAUUGGCCGA
rnacentral:rRNA from 1 species